rnacentral:rRNA from 1 species
UUUAGAGGGAAGGUAAAAGUCGUAACAAGGUUUCCGUAGGUGAACCUGCGGAAGGAUCAUUAACCUUUCAAAUCAGGGUGCGGCGCGGCCCCCGAGGAGCGGAAACAAUCCUUGGGAGGUAUGCGGGGGCUUCGAGCCCCCCAUUUACGCACGCACGACUGCCAUCCUUACUUUACGAGCACCUUCUGUUCUCCCUCGGCGGGGCAACCUGCCGUUGGAACCGAAUAAACUCUUUUUGCAUCUAGCAUUACCUGUUCCGAAACAAACAAUCGUUACAACUUUCAACAAUGGAUCUCUUGGCUCUGGCAUCGAUGAAGAACGCAGCGAAAUGCGAUAAGUAGUGUGAAUUGCAGAAUUCAGUGAAUCAUCGAAUCUUUGAACGCACAUUGCGCCCCUCGGUAUUCCGUGGGGCAUGCCUGUUCGAGCGUCAUCUACACCCUCAAGCUCUGCUUGGUGUUGGGCGUCUGUCCCGCCUCCGCGCGUGGACUCGCCCCAAAUUCAUUGGCAGCGGUCCUUGCCUCCUCUCGCGCAGCACAUUGCGCUUCUCGAGGGGCUACGGCUCGCGUCCAACAAGCACAUUUACCGUCUUUGACCUCGGAUCAGGUAGGGAUACCCGCUGAACUUAAGCAUAUCAAUAAG